rnacentral:lncRNA from 10 species
GAAAAAUAUUGCCAGACCAACUCAAAAUUACAAAGUUUUCCAGUGCUUAUCUACCUUCUAAGCUAUAUGUCUACAUGUUAGUGUGCAUUCAUCUAAAGACACAAGUGAUUAAUUUCUUCUAAUCUAUAACUAAGGUCUGAGUUAUAGACCUUGGGGACAUUCCUCUGGAGCCUCAGUGAUUUUACUUACUCUAGAUGGGUCCAAGUGCCAAAGGUAAUUACCUUAUCUUGUCUCCUACUAAGUUAUGGAGGUCUGGAGAGUUCCUUUAGACCCCCAAUAAAACUUGUUUAAUCCUAAAUGGAUCCUGGUAUGAGGAGUGUGACCAUUCCUUCAUUAUUUUGUCAUGCUUCAAAUCAUCAGCCUUUGUGUUAGGGCGCUGGCUCUCUCAGCCUUUAAUAUUUAACCUAACCAUUUAGUCAAUGCUAGAACAGUUCUUAUGGAGGCCUGCCUGUUCAGUUUUUGUGAGAUCUGGCUUGCCACAGUGGCACAAACGGCUUACUGCAGCCUCAACUUCCUGGGCUUAAGCGAUCCUCCUACCUCAGCCUCCCAAGUAGCUGAGAACACAGGUGCGUACCACCACACCAGCUAAUUUUUCUUUUCUUUUUUUUUUUCUGUAGAGAUGGGAGCCUCACUGUAUUGCCCAGGCUGGUCUUGAACUCCGGAGCUCAAGUGAUCGUCUUGCUUCAGCCUUGCAAAAUGAUGGUGAAGCUGCAUCAUUGUCUGGGGUAAAUACCUGAGGUUCGUUGUCUCACGCCAAGGGAAUCAAGGACGUGGACACACAAGAAGUGAGUUUAAGAGCGGAGGUUUAAUAGGCGAAAGAGAAAAGAGAAUAGCUCUAGCUCCUGCAGAGAGAAAAGGGCUCCCAAGUAGGACUUCCAGUCCGUGGCGAAGGGCACGGGGUUUAUAGACUGGCUUCAGGAGGUGGUGUCUGAUUUACGUAGGCCCCAAAGAUUGGUUGGACCAGGUGUGCCAAUCAGAAGCUGGCUGCCCCACCCUAAUCUUUUAUUAUGCAGAUGGAGUCCCUGUCUGACCGGGCCAUGUUGUAUGUUCCUUGCUGUACACGUGGUUGACAAAGAAAAGGGAAGAUGGAGCUGCGAUGUUGGACAUGCCUGGCCCCCAGGACAUACAGCCCUGCCGAGCAAAUAAUGAACGUAACUCACAAACUUCCUGCUUAUCAUCAAACGCACGCAUCCACUUAUCAUCAAACACCUCGGGUGACAGAAGAAUGCAGGUCAGCUCCCUGCUGCCUUGGCAUUAUCAAUCAGCCCAGGAACCAUCCUAUAAAAUCUCCAGCAAGCCUUUGUUUCCUUGCAGUCAGCUCCUCUUCCACUGAUUCUGCCUGUUGCUCCCUGAUAACAUACUUUGAUACUGUCUUUAAUAAAUCUGCCUUUCUUCACCCACA